GGCCCUACGGGGCGCAGCAGGCGCGAAAACUUUACAAUGCGAGAAAUCGUGAUAAGGGAACCCCGAGUGCCCGUAAAUUCGGGCUGUCCGCCAGUGCAAAAAACUGGCGAAGAAAGAGCCGGGCAAGACCGGUGCCAGCCGCCGCGGUAAUACCGGCGGCUCGAGUGGUGGCCACUUUUAUUGGGCUUAAAGCGUUCGUAGCUGGGUUGUUAAGUCUCUUGGGAAAUCUGGCGGCUUAACCGUCAGGCGUCUAAGGGAUACUGGCAAUCUUGGAACCGGGAGAGGUGAGGGGUACUUCGGGGGUAGGAGUGAAAUCCUGUAAUCCUCGAGGGACCACCUGUGGCGAAGGCGCCUCACCAGAACGGCUUCGACAGUGAGGGACGAAAGCUGGGGGAGCAAACCGGAUUAGAUACCCGGGUAGUCCCAGCCGUAAACUAUGCGCGUUAGGUGUAUCGGUGACCACGAGUUACCGAGGUGCCGAAGGGAAACCGUGAAACGUGCCGCCUGGGAAGUACGGUCGCAAGGCUGAAACUUAAAGGAAUUGGCGGGGGAGCACCACAAGAGGUGGAGGCUGCGGUUCAAUUGGACUCAACGCCGGAAAACUCAUCGG
rnacentral:rRNA from 1 species